GUGAGGAACCUGCCCUGUACACCGGGAUAACCACGGGAAACCGUGGCUAAUACCGGAUGCUCCAUCGUGAUCGCAUGGUCGUGAUGGGAAAGCUCAGGCGGUACAGGAGGGCCUCGCGGCGUAUCAGCUUGUUGGUGAGGUAACGGCUCACCAAGGCGACGACGCGUAGCUGGAGUGAGAGCUCGAACAGCCACACUGGGACUGAGACACGGCCCAGACUCCUACGGGAGGCAGCAGUGGAGAAUCUUGCGCAAUGGGCGAAAGCCUGACGCAGCCACGCCGCGUGCGGGAAGAAGGCCUUCGGGUCGUAAACCGCUUUCAGGAGGGAAGAAGCGAAAGUGACGGUACCUCCAGAAGAAGGUCCGGCUAACUACGUGCCAGCAGCCGCGGUAAUACGUAGGGACCGAGCGUUGUCCGGAUUCAUUGGGCGUAAAGCGCAUGUAGGCGGCCAUGUAAGUCGGUUGUGAAAUCCCGAGGCUCAACUUCGGAACUGCAGCCGAUACUGCAUGGCUUGAGGAAGGUAGAGGAGAGUGGAAUUCCCGGUGU
rnacentral:rRNA from 1 species